rnacentral:rRNA from 1 species
AAUAGCAUAUUCAUUUGACGUUAGCUGCAGAAGAAGCACCGGCUAACUCCGUGCCAGCAGCCGCGGUAAUACGGAGGGUGCGAGCGUUAAUCGGAAUUACUGGGCGUAAAGCGCAUGCAGGUGGUUGUUAAGUCAGAUGUGAAAAGCCCGGGGCUCAACCUCGGAAUUGCAUUUGAAACUGGCAAACUAGAGUACUGUAGAGGGGGUAGAAUUUCAGGUGUAGCGGUGAAAUGCGUAGAGAUCUGAAGGAAUACCGGUGGCGAAGGCGGCCCCCUGGACAGAUACUGACACUCAGAUGCGAAAGCGUGGGGAGCAAACAGGAUUAGAUACCCUGGUAG